rnacentral:rRNA from 1 species
GAUGAACGCUGGCGGCGUGCCUAAUACAUGCAAGUCGAGCGAACGGACGAGAAGCUUGCUUCUCUGAUGUUAGCGGCGGACGGGUGAGUAACACGUGGAUAACCUACUUAUAAGACUGGGAUAACUUCGGGAAACCGGAGCUAAUACCGGAUAAUAUUUUGAACCGCAUGGUUCAAAAGUGAAAGACGGUCUUGCUGUCACUUAUAGAUGGAUCCGCGCUGCAUUAGCUAGUUGGUAAGGUAACGGCUUACCAAGGCAACGAUGCAUAGCCGACCUGAGAGGGUGAUCGGCCACACUGGAACUGAGACACGGUCCAGACUCCUACGGGAGGCAGCAGUAGGGAAUCUGCCGCAAUGGGCGAAAGCCUGACGGAGCAACGCCGCGUGAGUGAUGAAGGUCUUCGGAUCGUAAAACUCUGUUAUUAGGGAAGAACAUAUGUGUAAGUAACUGUGCACAUCUUGACGGUACCUAAUCAGAAAGCCACGGCUAACUACGUG